rnacentral:lncRNA from 1 species
UCCUGCUUUUUUUUCUAGAUCAAUUCCUGUGUUUGUGAAUGGAGAGAGAAAAAGAGAACUUUUGCCAGCCUUUUAGUUUUGCUGAAUGACAACAUCCGUUAUCCUCCGCCAGCAUGGUCAGCCGCUGAAGAUGAUGAGACUGUUUCCACCUCAUCUGAUGAGCAUCCUAUUUGGGGAAUUUGCAGUAAUUGCAACAAAGAACCCUGUGGCAUCUUAAGGACUAGCUUAAUAGCAUUACCUUUUUGUAAGUGCAGAAUAUAGUUCACUUCAUCAGAAAAAAUGGAUAAUCUGUACAGAAUUUCAGGUUGAUGUACAAUAUGCAUGACAACCCCUGUGGGAGCUGAUAUUAUAAUGAGGAAUGGAAAAUGAAAAAGAAGAGGAAAGAGCAGAAUACAAAGAAGAAAAACUUAAAAAACAUGAAGAUUUAGCCUUCCCUUGGGACAUACAGAUCAUCCAUUUUGUAGUAUUUUUAAAUCACUCUCUUUAGAUGAAAGAAAAGUUGUUGCCAAAGGUCUCCUUAUGAUCAGAGGGACAAAAAUGAUGUUCCAGGCUUCAUGUUUUCUUCUUGAAGGUGGGAAGAAGAGAACAAUCAACAAACAAAGGACCAUGAACAAACUGGAAGAGGAGGCUGAGAGAGGAUAUCAUCAAGAAACAGAAAUAUUUCAUCCUGUGUAAAGAAGAAGCAAACACCAUUUUGAGCUCAAUCUCAAGCCAGAAGCUAUGACAGUCAAUCAGAGGGUUCUCGCCCUGUGAAGGCUCAUUAAUCAGUUCCUGUGUGAACCACCCUGGAGCCAAAGAACACGUUUCUCAUCCAAGACCACCUAGUGAGUGUGUAACUGGACGUUGAUUAGAGCUGAAGUUUAAAGUUCAAUAUUAUUCCCUGACCAGUGCUAUUAUCCCUGUUAUUCUUCCACACACAGCUCUC